rnacentral:rRNA from 1 species
GCUAAAAACCUAGCUCAACUUUACGCAAAUACCACAACCAAACAACUGUAACUAAACAAAACAUUUUUAAAUUUUUAGUAAAGGCGAUUGAAAAAUAUCUAGAAGCUAUAACAAUAGUACCGCAAGGGAAAAGUGAAAUAAAAAUGAAAUAACUUUAAAGCAAAGCUAAGCAGAGAUUUAACCUCGUACCUUUUGCAUCAUGGUCUAGCUAGUUUAACCAAGCAAAGCGAAAUUAUAGUUUGACACCCCGAAACUAGGUGAGCUACUUCAAAACAGCCUUCAAGGGCCAACCCGUCUCUGUUGCAAAAGAGUGGGAAGAUUUUCAAGUAGAGGUGAUAGACCUACCGAACCUAGAGAUAGCUGGUUAUUCAGGAAAAGGAUUUAAGUCCUACCUUAAGUUUUUCUAUACUACAAAAUAUACCCAUAAACUUAAGAGCUAUUCAAAUAAGGUACAGCCUAUUUGAAACAGGAAACAACCUAAAACACAGGGUAAUGAUAUUCUAAAUGUGACCAAGUGGGCCUAAAAGCAGCCAACUUUUAAAUAGCGUUAAAGCUUCAUCACUUCAUUUAACAAAUAACCAUAACACCACAAAACCCUUUACCACUACUGAAUGACUCCAUAAUUGUAUGGAGAACACUAUGCUAGAACUAGUAACAAGAAGAAGACCUUCUCCAAAAUGUAAGUGUAAGCCAAAAUGAACAUCUCACUGGCACUUAUCGUCUCUGAACUUACGGUAGCAACUUCACAAGAAAAUACUACCACACAAAACGUUAACCUUACACCAGAACAUUACCGGAAAGAUUAAAAGAAGAGGAAGGAACUCGGCAAAUUUUAACCCCGCCUGUUUACCAAAAACAUCGCCUCCUGAAAUAACUAUAGGAGGUCCAGCCUGCCCAGUGACAAAGUUAAACGGCCGCGGUACCCUAACCGUGCGAAGGUAGCGCAAUCACUUGUUCUUUAAAUGAGGACUAGUAUGAAUGGCAUCACGAGGGUUAUACUGUCUCCCUCUUUCAAUCAGUGAAACUGAUCUUCCCGUGAAGAAGCGGGAAUACAUCUAUAAGACGAGAAGACCCCAUGGAGCUUAAAACUCAGUAUCAACUACUAUACUAAUUUAUCCUCUUAAUUAAGC